GUUUUUAAUUCACAAACGCGUCGAUAAUAGCCUAAAUUUUACGCUUUUUCCAUUAUACAUCAUUUUUUAAUAUAUAUGGACUAUACUGCAAGUUCCGAAUCAAAUCGAUUACGUGUGAUGUCGUAUUCCAUUAUAUCGUAUCAUUUUGAUUUGAAAGCACAAGUACUCCUAUGAGUAGUUUUAUGUGUAUCAGCCGCCUACCGUACAUGUAUAUGACGUAUUUUUUCAUUAAUUGUAGUAUUAUGAUGUAUAUUGUCAUUUUGGGUCGUACAAGUGCGUAUUGAAUCUGAUUGGGUCGUGUCGGUGACAUUCGGUUUUUAACGUGAUGUAACGCAUAUAUUGAACAAACACAAACGUACUUUUGGAUUGUAAAAGAAUUAACGUCAAUAUUAUUAAACACAUUUAACUUUUCGUUCAGUAGUGGAGAGUAUGUAUUUCUCGACUUGUCAGACAAAAUUUCUUGUAGUGUCAUUCAUGGACCCUCACCUCUACUAUCUAGCUAUCAUCUUACUAUAUUAG
rnacentral:lncRNA from 1 species